rnacentral:tRNA from 1 species
GCCGCGGUGGCACAAUCUGGUACUGCGCGGGAUUGCUAAUCCCGUUUCCCUCGUGGAUUCCCCGGUUCAAAUCCGGGCCGCGGCG